rnacentral:piRNA from 1 species
UACGUAGCAGAUGUGCAGCUAGGUCUUC